GGGUUGUGAGGUUAAGCGACUAAGCGUACACGGUGGAUGCCCUGGCAGUCAGAGGCGAUGAAGGACGUGCUAAUCUGCGAUAAGCGUCGGUAAGGUGAUAUGAACCGUUAUAACCGACGAUUUCCGAAUGGGGAAACCCAGUGUGUUUCGACACACUAUCAUUAACUGAAUCCAUAGGUUAAUGAGGCGAACCGGGGGAACUGAAACAUCUAAGUACCCCGAGGAAAAGAAAUCAACCGAGAUUCCCCCAGUAGCGGCGAGCGAACGGGGAGCAGCCCAGAGCCUGAAUCAGUGUGUGUGUUAGUGGAAGCGUCUGGAAAGGCGCGCGAUACAGGGUGACAGCCCCGUACACAAAAAUACACAUACUGUGAGCUCGAUGAGUAGGGCGGGACAC
rnacentral:rRNA from 1 species